GUUCGUUGUUAGUUUCUGUAUUAAUCAACAGCAUCUGUGACAGUUUAAGAUGUAUAACCUAGAAUAUUAUUUUAAUAUACACAUUCAACCCACUUUAUUCCUAAACCAACUCCAGUGCUGUUCCUCUCAUGGUCAGUGGUGCAGGUCAAAGGUCCAGUCUGGGCUUCUUAUCUACAGCGUUCUAUUUUCCAGUGAGUUUAAUGGAGACAGGUAACCAUAACCUGAACAGAUCAUUUAAACAGCUACCCCUACCACUUGACACCAUAAAACCCGCAGCCGCCAAAAAGAAAAGCUUCUGGCUCCAUGACAGCUUGUGUGGUUACACUGGAAGGUAACGCACACCUCUCACCUUCGUCCGCGUUAUAUUCCAUUGACCCUAUUAGUAUACAGCAGGGCCUAUCUUUUCCAUUGUCAGACGAGUAUUGUUGGAUGGGUGGGUUUCAUGUGGCCACAUUUUUUAAAGCAUUGGCAAAAUGGCCUCAUUAUAUGCUAAGUGCAUGUUUGUAUUAAACUGCUUAAAUUGAUAUUCACCCAGCUGUAGUGGCCACAUACAGUAUGACUCAAAAUCUGCAUCUAACUUAAAGGGUUGGUUCACCCAAAAAUAAUUUAUCAUACUCAUGUUCUUCCAAACUUGUAUGCAUUUCUUCCUUCUGUGGAACUCAAUUUUUUUUUUUUUUUUUUUUUUUUUUUUUAGAAAAAAUGUGUUUUAGAACUGAACUUUCUUCAAAAUAUAUUAUUUUGUGUCCCACAGAAGAAAGAAUAAAGGGUUUUGGCCAACCUGAGGGUGAUUAAAUGAUUUUGGUUUUUGUGAACUAUCCCUUUACAUAUAUUUGAUAAAAAAUAAAAAUAAAAAUGCCUCUAUUUUAAGUAUACUCUUCUCAGAAAGAGUUAAGCUACACAAUUGUAAUAUUUUUGUGCUGCCUUUGUUACCUGCAUCCCAUGCACUCUGCACCUUUUUUUUAUUUAUUAUUUAUUGUGCUUCUUUAUAUUUAUUUCCUACAUUAUUCAACUGUAACUGCAACAUCCUAGUGAAAGAAAAGGAAACUAACAUCUUUACCUGUUUAAUGACAGUAAGCUUGCAUUGACUUUGACAUUUUUGACAUUGAUAUAUAUAUAUGUUAUAUAGAGAUGGCAGGAUGGACAAAAGUUACAAGUGACAGAAACUUCUGUCCUUAUCCUGUAGUGCUUUGUCUGGGGAAGAUGCUGAAGUUAUGUAAAUGCACCACAGACAGAGAUGACAUCUAUAUCCUUCAGCUGCGUGUGUGUGUGUGUGUGUGUGCUCGCAUGUGUCUAGAAGAUUGAUCACCAAUGUGCGGGAAAGUGUCCCCACAUGCAUCACAGGUACAAAGUCAUUGUUUUGUAUCAAGUACCCUAGGGCAGGUGCAUGUGUAAAGGCACAUUACAUACUUUAUUUGUUAGAUUGUUUGCAUCCACUGGCUUGCAUCACAGAAAUAUUAGGAGACAAUAUGCUAUAGAUGUCUUAGUUUACAAGUCAGAUGAUUUAAAGCAGCACACCCAAAAAUGAAAACGCUCAUUUACUCCCUCUCAUGUCAUUCCAAACCUGUAUAGCUUUCUUUCCUUUGUGGAAAUCCAAAGAAAACAUUUUGAGAAAUAUCUGUUAGUUUUGGGUCCAUAAAUUUGAAGUCAAUGGUCUCCAAAACAUUCUUCAAAAUAUCUUAUUUUAUGUUCCACAGAAGAACAAGUCAUGCAAGUUGCAAAGACAUGAAAGUGAAUAAAUAAUGAAAGAAUUUUUAUUUUUGGGCAAUUAUCUCUUUAAAUUUAAAAUGUUUAUUUUAGAACUGUGCUUUUACCAAUCAGGCAAUAUCUUAUUAAAGGGUCAGUAUCCCUUUAAAUAUUUGAAGAAAUUGAACUUGCCAAUAUAUUGAUUAUAAUAUUUCAAAAAGAGAUUAAAAUGUACUAAUACAAUAAUUUAAAGAGACUUACUUACCCAUAUAUACUAGUCAAAAACUUUUGAACCAUCAUUCAUUCCAAAAUUCAACAUCACAUCAAACAACAAACUAUUUCUAAUCUUCAUCUCAAUCCUAAAUUCUUAAAGCUAAAUACAGCUAAAGUAUAAAUAAUCAAAUUUCACAGCACAUAUUGUAUAAAACAAUGUGGCUUGCCAGAGAGAACACAUAACAGUCUAGCUUUCUAAACUUCUGUAACAGCUCCAUUCAUAUCCAUUAAAUUUGAUCCACACUCUUACUUAUAUCUUCUCUAAAAAACAGAAUCCAAGCGUCCAACAUUACAUGCUUAAGCACAUUCAUAAAACCAAACACGGACAAACGCUCAAUGAAAUACCCACCAGGGAAAACCUCUGUGGCAGGACGGUCCUUCUGUGAGCGUUGUGAUCCAGGAUGAGUAUGGCUCCUCUUUGUGCCUCUGUCCCUCUCUAGUCUUGCUCCUCUUCUCUGCCUACGUUACAAUCAGAUUUCUGCACACCCUUUUCUUCUGUUUAAGCUCUCUCUCUUUCAGUAAUCUUAUUCCUCCUGAGUAACUUGAGACCCACGA
rnacentral:lncRNA from 1 species